GGGGGGGGGCAAGCGUUGUUCGGAAUUACUGGGCGUAAAGGGCGCGCAGGCGGGCGGGAAAGUCUCUCGUGAAAUCCCACGGGCUCAACCGCGGAAUUGCGGGAGAUACUACUCGUCUUGAGUUCGGGAGAGGAGUGUGGAAUUCCCAGUGUAGCGGUGAAAUGCGUAGAUAUUGGGAGGAACACCGGUGGCGAAGGCGGCACUCUGGACCGAUACUGACGCUGAGGCGCGAAAGCUAGGGGAGCAAACGGGAUUAGAUACCCCGGUAGUCCUAGCUGUAAACGCUGAGCACUUGGUGUAGCGGGUAUCGACCCCUGCUGUGCCGAAGCUAACGCAUUAAGUGCUCCGCCUGGGGAGUACGGUCGCAAAGGCUG
rnacentral:rRNA from 1 species